rnacentral:rRNA from 1 species
AGUGAACGCUGGCGGUAGGCCUAACACAUGCAAGUCGAACGGCAGCACAGUAAGAGCUUGCUCUUACGGGUGGCGAGUGGCGGACGGGUGAGGAAUACAUCGGAAUCUACUUUUUCGUGGGGGAUAACGUAGGGAAACUUACGCUAAUACCGCAUACGACCUACGGGUGAAAGCAGGGGAUCUUCGGACCUUGCGCGAUUGAAUGAGCCGAUGUCGGAUUAGCUAGUUGGCGGGGUAAAGGCCCACCAAGGCGACGAUCCGUAGCUGGUCUGAGAGGAUGAUCAGCCACACUGGAACUGAGACACGGUCCAGACUCCUACGGGAGGCAGCAGUGGGGAAUAUUGGACAAUGGGCGCAAGCCUGAUCCAGCCAUCCCGCGUGGGUGAAGAAGGCCUUCGGGUUGUAAAGCCCUUUUGUUGGGAAAGAAAAGCAGCAGGUGAAUACCCCGCUGUUCUGACGGUACCCAAAGAAUAAGCACCGGCUAACUUCGUG